CACAAUUGAUUGGUUCCACUCUUACAUCACAGAGAGGGAACUGCCCAAUAGUUCGACAGCCCAUUGGUUCGACAUCCCAUUGUUCCGACCAUAUUAAACUCAUUGUUCCGAAGUCCAUUCCGAAAUCAUCAUGAUGCCCUGUCGUUAAUGUCUGGUUAGGUUUAGGCACAAAAACCACUUGGUUAGGGUCAGGAAAAGAUCAUGGUGUGGGUUAAAAUAAAAAAGAAAGUGACAAACACAUAAGCCGUGAGCCUGCUCCACCUCAAGCCGGUUGCGGCGCACCAUACGCCCGCUGCGAGCCGUUCAGCACCGCGGACAGUCGGACUAAUGGGAUGUCGAACCAAUGGGCUGUCGAAUCAAUGGGCUGUCGAACCAAUGACAUGGACCCCACAGAGAGAACUCAGACUGUGGUCACUGAUGGUACCCAGUCAAGCCAACUAGUCAUCAGAAACAGGUUGCCACAGGGGUCUAUCCUCGGUCCAUUGUUGUUUACGUUAUACAUAAAUAAUAUGGUUAUUCCUAAUCAAUACUUCAACGUUCAUUUUUUUGCUAAUGAUACUAUUUUGUUCACCUCCUGGGCACUGCCGAGGUGCCCCUGAGCAAGGCACCAAACCCCCCAACCGCUCGAAGCGCCUGUCAUGGGCAGCCCACUCUGACAUCUCUCCACUUAGUGCAUGUAUAGGUCCAGUUUAUGCAUGUGUGUGUUCGGACCUGUGUGUAAUUGACAAACAGAGUGAGAAAUUGAAUUUCCCAUCGGGGAUUAAUAAAGUAUGUAAAAAAAAUAAAAUAAAAUAAAAAAAAGAUACACGGCAGUGGAGGGCGAGUGUAAUGUUACAACCAAGACAGUCAAACGCAACCCUGGAGUUUUAAAACUCAACCGGAGUCACUGAUGAAUGAUGAGUUUUAGAAUAAGGUUACAGUGUAAAUGUUAGAUAGUAGCGUUAACAUUACUAGUAAGUGGAAACACACAAGGAAGAUAACGUUAAUGUAUCAGAGGCUACGAUACAGUAGGCUAACGUUAGCCAUUAGCAACUGGAUGCUGUGUUGUCAUAUAUAAUGUUACAGCAUAUGUUACAUUAGAGGCAAACUAAAAAUACCUGUCUCGCAGAAACUCUGUGACCAUCUCGUCCCUUUACGUCAGUCGGAGUCCUCCACGUGGGGAAGACAGACAGGACGCUCGGCCAAUCAAUGCAUUAGUCGGAGUUUUCUUAGAACCAUAUGAGAAUGGUAUAAUUAUGAGUUUUUAUCUCUGGUGGAAUUCACUUACAUUUUAGUGUGCCAUCAGCUUAUUAAUACCAUUUUAAUCUAAACAAAGAAAAGAGUAAAAUUUCCAAAAAAGUAAGUGUCGCUUUAAAUGAUCACAUUAAUUUACACUGUUUUAGUCGUAAAUCUGUAUUUUACAAAUGGUUACAUCAUUGUAGUGUAGAUGUACACAAAGCUCUCCUUAGGUUAAAAUCAUGCAAAAACACUGGUGCAGACAAUCUAAGUGCCCCCUUCAUCUGCUCUCAUCUAGCUCAUAUUUUUAAUCAAACCUUUUUAACAGGCAGGAUUCCAGCUUCAUGGAAAAGUGCCACAGUAUUAGCAUUACACAAAAGUGGAGAUGUCUGCGAUCUUAACAACCACCGUCCAAUAUCUAAAUUACCUCUCUUAGCAAAACUUCUUGAGUCAUUAGUUAAUUUUCAACUACGCACCUUUAUUGACUCUCUCAACCUACUACAGCCACAACAGUCUGGUUUUCGCCUGAGUCACAGCACCAUAACAGCGGCAGCUUCAGUUAUCGAUAACAUUGUUUCCUCCCUGGAUAAUAAACAAUUUUGUGCCGCUCUCUUCAUCGACCUCUCAAAAGCUUUUGAUACUGUAGAUCAUAAAAUCCUUCUCCAUAAAUUACAGUCCAAAGGUCUCGAUGAAGCCACAAUUGAUUGGUUCCACUCUUACAUCCCAGAGAGAACUCAGACUGUGGUCGCUGAUGGUACCCAGUCAAGCCAACUAGUCAUCAGAAACGGGUUGCCACAGGGGUCUAUCCUCGGUCCAUUGUUGUUUCCGUUAUACAUAAAUAAUAUGGUUAUUCCUAAUCAAUACUUCAACGUCCAUUUUUUUGC